rnacentral:rRNA from 1 species
GAUGAACGCUGGCGGCGUGCCUAAUACAUGCAAGUCGAGCGAACAUACGAGGAUCUUGCUCCUCUGACGUUAGCGGCGGACGGGUGAGUAAUACGUGGAUAACCUACCUAUAAGACUGGUAUAACUUCGGGAAACCGGAGCUAAUACCGGAUAAUAUAUUGAACCUCAUGGUUCAAUAGUGAAAGACGGUUUUGCUGUCACUUAUAGAUGGAUCCGCGCCGCAUUAGCUAGUUGGUAAGGUAACGGCUUACCAAGGCGACGAUGCGUAGCCGACCUGAGAGGGUGAUAGGGCACACUGGAACUGAGACACGGUCCAGACUCCUACGGGAGGCAGCAGUAGGGAAUCUUCCGCAAUGGGGGAAAGCCUGAAGGAGCAAAGCCGCGUGAGGGAUGAAGGUCUUCGGAUCGGAAAACUCUGUUAGUAGGGAAGAAGAAAAGUGUAAGUAACUAUGCACGUAUUGACGGUACCUAAACAAAAAGCCACGGCUAACUACGUG